rnacentral:rRNA from 1 species
UACGUAGGUGGCAAGCGUUGUCCGGAAUUAUUGGGCGUAAAGCGCGCGCAGGCGGUCCUUUAAGUCUGAUGUGAAAGCCCACGGCUCAACCGUGGAGGGUCAUUGGAAACUGGGGGACUUGAGUGCAGAAGAGGAAAGCGGAAUUCCACGUGUAGCGGUGAAAUGCGUAGAGAUGUGGAGGAACACCAGUGGCGAAGGCGAGUCCCUGGACGAUACCUGACACUGAGGCACGAAAGCCAAGGGAGCAAACAGG